GUUAACACUUCUCUCAGAGCAAAUCAGGGCUUAAAGCAAGACCCCAGUCUAUCGUCACAAAAUACGUAACUCGUAGUGACUGACAGAUAGGAAACACCAUCUCAACUUCUCUGAAGAGCUCCUUAGGUGCAUGCAAAUAUCUAAUCCCGGUCUAUUAGGGUAGGGAUGGACCAAUCACAGUCGAGUAGGGUCGAGAUGGACCAAUCACAGUCGAUUAGGGUCGGGAUGGACCAAUCACAGUCCGGAUGGUGUUCUCGGCGUCUACACUCAGUUUUGAUUUAGUCUCCUGAAAAACGAAGCACAACUUUCUGAAGCACAGCUUCUGUCUUAUCGUCCGUAGGAGGAUGUCUCAGACGGUCAUACCGUGGCGUCUUCAACCCUCGUCAUCCAGCUGCAGCCGACGACGCACACCGCCGCU